ACCCUGGUGGCCUAAUAGGUAGGGCAUUGGCCUCCUAAGUCAGGGGUUGUGGGUUCAAGUCCCAUCUUGGGUA
rfam:Myotis lucifugus cont2.21025, whole genome shotgun sequence.